rnacentral:rRNA from 1 species
UCUACGGGAGGCUGCAGUGGGGAAUCUUGCACAAUGGGCGAAAGCCUGAUGCAGCAACGCCGCGUGAGCGAAGAAGGCCUUUGGGUCGUAAAGCUCUGUCCUAAGGGAAGAAGGAAGUGACGGUACCUUAGGAGGAAGCCCCGGCUAACUACGUGCCAGCAGCCGCGGUAAUACGGAGGGGGCAAGCGUUAUCCGGAAUUAUUGGGCGUAAAGAGUACGUAGGCGGUUCUUUAAGCGCAGGGUUUAAGGCGAUAGCUUAACUAUCGUUCGCCCUGUGAACUGGGGGACUUGAGUAUCGGAGAGGAAAGCGGAAUUCCUAGUGUAGCGGUGAAAUGCGUAGAUAUUAGGAGGAACACCAGUGGCGAAGGCGGCUUUCUGGACGAAAACUGACGCUGAGGUACGAAAGCGUGGGGAGCAAACAGGAUUAGAUACCCCGGUAGUC